GGGUUUUGUGGUGAACACUGAUCCAUCUUUUGCCUUUUUUUUUUUUUGCAGGUCAGACAACCCCAUGAGAAGAGGAAUGGGAACACGAGGCUGAUAAUAACUGGCCUAUUUGGGGAUUGAGUGCAACUCUCCAGAUGUGCCCAUGACAAAGGACGCCUUGACUUUAUUGCUGAUCACCCAUCUCUGCGAACCAGCUGAAGUGACGGUUGUUUACGAGCCUCUUGUCGGAUGCUUGCGCAGGAAGACAUUGAUUGACUCCAUGGCACACAACGGCCAUUCCGGUGCAUUUGAGCCCAUCUGUUUGCUGCAGCAUUGACAGCCUUCACCCCGGAAUGACCUCGCCGCCGCGUAAUGCCGCCGCGGACGCGGAACAACACACGUGCAGUCAGCGCUGGAUGGAUGCAACCACGCCGGCGACAUACUUUACGCCUACGAGUUAAGUCGCUCCACCCAAACAGAAAAAUCAAACAGACAUCAGAAACCCAAACCAGUGGGAUGGAGGUUCAGCAUCUUGUCAAAAGCACAUGGAUAUAACCUUUUGAAACACUUUGCCUUCAGGAAGUGUUAUUUUAGUUUUUUAUAUGGAACCCGAAGCCUAUCUUGAAACCCAAAUUCGGAAGCCUGACCCCAAUUUGAAAACCUAAAUUGCUGCCACUUUGAACCUGGUGUGACCGAGGCACAUUUCCCAACACUGUGACAGCCAUUCUCCAUCAGUCUUGUUUGGAGAAAUUAAACUGGCACAGUCUGGACCUUUUUUUUUUUUCAAAUACGAUACCCUCUAAUAAUUCACUAUUUCCUUAGUCGCCUUUGCUGGGAAAUAAUGACUUUCCCUGUUUACUUAGCUGUGUUGCAGUUUUUUUUCUCCACUCCCCAAAAUUCUGGGGUAAUUGUUGAGGCAGGUCAAACGCGACAUUCCUGUCGGCUUCAAAAAAGAAAAAAAAAGGAAGCCAAAACAAAAUGGCAAAGAGUUAUGGCUUUGUUAUGAUCGGCAUUGGGAACGACACAUUCUAAAAGUAGCGUGACAGCAGUACGCUAGCUUCACGCCAUAAUUAAAAGCCGAACACUGGCUUGCAAAAUAGGUCGAACAAGGACAUGGGCGGACAGGGGGGGUUAGUUAAUCCGCCUCACGAUUCGGACUUGUGGUGGUGCGAAUCCGGGCUCUGAAGUGUCCUCUUCAUGGUUGCGUGGGUUUUAUGCAGGGACUGCAGCUUCCUCCUACACGCAUGUUUCAUGAAAGAUCUAAAUUGUCUGUAGAUGGGAAUAAAGGAUUAAAAGUGUUGGUACAGAUUUUAGCCAGCAUCAUGAAAGUUGGCUUUGUUGAUUUGCUUUUGUGGGCCACAUAAAAGGAGGUGGCGGGGCCAGAUCUGGCCCCCGGGCCAUGAGUUUGUGAUCUAAAUUGUCCAUAGAUGGGAAUAGAGGAAUAGAAGGGUUUUUUUUUUGGGGGGGGGGGGUACGUGCUUUGUGACUGGAUGGCGACCAGUUCAGGUUUUCCCUCACCUCUUGUGUUAAAGCCCACAUUAAAAAAAAUAUAAAAACCCCAAAAACCUCAUUUGAAACCCUACCCGAUUUCUUCUAUGUUGUCCACCAUAGUGAAUGGAUGCAGAUGACAGUGUUUGCUUUCCACUUCCUCUGCGGACAUGCGAGAGGGCUUGGAACACCGGCUCAAUGCCGUCACCGCGACCUAAUGAGGUGGUUUUAGCUUAAGCAGCGAGCGUUCAGCCCUACUCUAUAAUUCCGCAUCCGCGGCUCCUCCGGCCAGCCUGCGUCACGAGUGCGUUGGUCCGUAUUCGCCAUGUCGCCCGCAACGCCGCCAAACAUGUCGAGCGCCUGCCGCUGCAAGGUACGACGUUCCAAAGGAGCAUCAAUCAACGGGGGGAGAGAGCGGUUUGCAAAUUGGCGACUCAAGGAAACACUUUCGCACAGAUGAGUCAGGCGUUCCGUCACGAUAUCGUCAAAUCCGUCCCCCCACGCGCACACAACAACGGGCAAUGGAUGGGACCUUUCUUUUGUCCUUGCGUUCUUGGCAACACACAAAUCGAGACGCGCUAAUCGUCUAAACGUUGCGCCUGUGCCAUGUUCGCAAAUGAUAGGCUGCCUUUCCAGAACGCUUGGCCAGCGCCGUGUAAAGUAGCUGUCGGGUGCAGCGAGGGCAAAUGUGCAGGAACACGGUUGGACGGUGAAUAAGAGAUGCCGCUCCAACGACUCGUCACGUCAGCCUGGAAUUCGUUUCAGGACUGCACGAAUGGAGCCUUGUUUGAAUAAACCAAAAGUUUUUAUUAAAGAAAGAAAAAAAAAACCCUAACAAAACAGUUAAACACAAAACGUCAAAUAUUGGGGAACCUGAAGCACGACCAAAUGGGUU